rnacentral:lncRNA from 1 species
GGCAGUAGAGCAGCACCAACUAAGACCGGGGGCGUCUCAAAGCCCCCUUUUCCUUUUGAGGGGGAAAGCUCGAGAAAGAGGACGCCACUGCUAGGGCCAGAGAGAGAGAGAGAGAGAGAGAGAGAGAGAGAGAGAGAGAGAGAAAGAGAGAAUGAGAAAGCGAGAACCGUGAAGGGGAGGAGGAAGCAAAUUAAUACGGGCGGGCAAGAGGGUCCAGCUAACGAACGAACCGACGCCAAGUCUAGUGUCGACCAGCGCCGCGACGCCUUGCAAUCCCACUUUCUCUCUCUCUUCCGCUAGCUUGAUCGUUCUCAUCCUUGUUUCUCGAAAUCCAUCUCGAGACACAUACAUAUUAUUAUCUACGAUUAUUACGUAUAUCGUUUCUUCGCACACGCGUCGUUGAUUUUUUUUCUAACGAGUAUUUCGAUCGACCUUCGUCGAUCUACUACUCUUGAGAGAUAGAACUCGUACGUCGGUUGUUUUUUUUUUUUUUAAAGGCACACGUUCACUCACGUCGAUUAAGAAAAUGACAUCACACGCGUUACGCGGUGUUUUGUGAACGAAGGGCUUGUUGUUUAUCGGAUUGAUACUUUGGAUUUUGGCGGUGACAGUGAGAGAUUAGAGCGUUCUUUUUGAGUGUUAGCAUGGAUGAUUUUAAUGGAGGCCGGUGUCGAGCGUGAUUCUAAGGGAUUUUUAUCGAUAGCUUUCCUUUUUUUCGUUGUUUUGUGAAAUACAAAAUUAAGGAUGAUCACGUUUCAACGUUAAAUUGUUUUCUCUUUUUAAAUGAUUUGUUUAUAAACUUUCAAGUUUGCUUUAGUACAUAUUUGUUGAAGAAUCGCUUCUUUUUCCGGGAAAUACAAUUUUUCAAUUUUGUAUUUUCCUUUUAAUCGACUUUCUUUAAUCCGGAUUAUUACCGACGUCGACGGUACGUAGUUAAAAUAUAUCGACUGAUUAAUUAAACGAUUAAAAGAGGAACGUCCAUGAAAAUUAGCGACGAAACGAGCGGACGAUUAAGAUUAACAGAAUAAUUAGUAGAUUUCUUCUCGUCGCGAUAAUCACGAUAAACGAUAGUUUCUCUCCUUUCUAAGAGCUGGCUCUGCCCUGUGCUCGAUCUAUUUUUCUUCUUUCUUUUUUUACAUUGCACCGACAUUUUGCAAGUAAACGUCUAUCGAGAUUGGAAUCACACGCAAUUUCCAUACGACUCGACUGUGUUGAUAAAUGGAGAAUAUAUAGCACAUGUUCUUUUUUAAAUAGCUCCUAGUUCUUAGAGUUGUUUGCGAUGCCGAUUCGUUAGCGCGGAAAUCGCUGAGAACUCGCGAAGGAGAAGGAGAAUCGGAAGGAAACGUCACGGUGUUGUCGCUUUCGCGAAAACGAGUCACGAGGAUCGAGCCGAUGCUCGCUUCGAGACGUUCUCCUCGCAGUCUCAUUUUAAUUAAACGAAAUUCCGCGUGUAACAAAGGGCGGCAAGCCAGCCGGAUAAUUCGAAAGGGCAGAUACGUGCUUCCUGGUUGGUCGAGUCGGUGGAUACGGGUGGUGGCGGCGAGGGAAGAGGGUCGACGGAGGUAUUAUGUAGGAUACGUAUACGUGUGCGGAUUGGAUGAUUGGAAUCGUAGAACGAACGAAGCUCGUCUUCGUGCAUGCGUCGCGACCCAUCGUUACGAGCCUAGUAUAAACCUACGCCAUUUUCUAUGGUCAUCGAGAGAAUGAGCAGCGUGCGAACUCUGCUAACACAUCCAGAGAUAUGUUUUGGCUACGAUAUUAUUGUCUUCUGAUUAUAUCGGACAAUGGAAGCAUUGCCGGAAGUGUAACGGAAAUUGUGCCUCUCGAUGCGCGACUAGGGGAGGAUGAUGUGCAGGGAUAGGGGACAGCAAUUUCGAGACGUGCCAAUCGUCACGUUGAAGGAAGAAAACGGAAAUUGGAUGGACCAGCGUCUUGAGACCUUCCUGCGGAUGUAAUAAAUGUUCCCUCGGUGAUUUAUGGAAUUUUAUUUAUCCUUUUUCGUAUCUUAGUAACCGGACUUUGGAUCACAGGAUUACUUGGGAUAUUAUGUUCCAUAUAAUUCUCAUGACUUUAGAGGAAAUUUUAUUUAUCCUACCGCGCGAGAUAGGAGGAACGAAGAAGCAUUUAUUAGGUGCUCCGAUCGGUAUGCACGUAUCGCUUAGUCGAUGGGAGCAAGUUCUUGAUUUCCGCUUCUUUCGAAAGCAUACUUUCUUCCUCGUUUUCGUCCUCUUCGUUCGUCUAUUAUAAGUUCGAUGCAGAUUCCUUCGCUUCACGUUCACCAUUCUUACGAGGAAUUCGAUAUCGUGCAAUUAAAUGCUCUCCUUCCUGUACCGCCCUUUCACUAAGAUGGAAGAAGAAGAUGCAGUCAAAGAGAGAACUUAAGGUCGAGGAUCCGAAGGGAAGAAGUUGCAGGAUGCGACGUAGCCGAAGAAGAGAAAGGGGCAAGAAAGUUGUCUGCAAACAGUCAGAGAAAGAAUUUUGCCGAAGCUUUAAGUAAUUGGACGGAUGUAAGAGAUUCGAGCACGUGGUUGACGACCUCAACACAUCGUAAAUGGCAAAACGUAAAAUAGUUUACGUUAUUGGACAAUGAAAUCUGGAGAUACCAGUUACCAUUCGUAGACUUGAUUGAAUCAUAAACGAAGGAAUGGUUGAUGGGGAAUAUUUAAAGGAUGGAUAGGAAGAAGAGAAUACGAAAGCAUUUUCGUAUAAUUGAUCAAGUCUAAUGAGUUAAAGGGGAUGAAACGGUAUCGAUAAUGGAUAUUAAAGAGUUCUAGGUCAUGGCAACGACAGCCUCGAGGGAGAGAGAAAGUACGGAGAACUUGGGUACUUGUUCUCUCUCUCUCUCUCUUCCACCUCUUUAGCCCUCCCGUCACUCGGUCGGGUCGGUCCAACCGAUGUGCAGAGAGCGCUGAUUGUAAAUUAGUUAAAGGAGAUGCUUUAUUAGAAGCAGCUGUUUGCACCCUGAGAGUUCGCUUUCCUAUUGUUAAUAGAGUUUUAUAGUAAAAAUCGUUUACUUCUUAUAAGUAUUCAUAAUAGUUAAGAUAAAGAAGAGAUAUUUUAUAAAAAAUAUGAAUAACUUAACAUGCAACACGGGGAAUUAGUCAAGCACAGAUCGCAAUUGUCAAAAAUGUAUUCACCUUAAGAGAAACUAACGAAAUCCUAUCCCAUAUCGCCAUUACUUGUUAGUCGCCUCGGGACUCGAGCUCGCCAGCGAUGACGUUUCAACGUCGCUCCACGCUCACUUUUCAAUUUGCAGACAAAUGAAGAAGGAGCUGCACUGGUAGGAAGAAAACGUGUGGGACACGUAAUGGGGCAUAGAGUAGGAGGAUGAAUGCUAUCAAGUAAAAAGAGAUAAAAAUGGUGAAGAAGAAAAUAGAGAGGAGAAAAGACAAAGAGAAAAAGCGAGAGGAGAGUUAGGAAGGAGUGGGAUGGAGCGAGUGGGGGAGGGAUGAUACUAAAAGAAAGAAAGGAAACGCGUGGCGAAGCAGCAGAAGGGAUGGUCGAGUAUGAGAAAGGAGAAAAGGCGGCCUGUUACACGAAAGGUGGUGUCUUCCAUGUCCCCCAGGGAAAUUAUUGACAGUCAGCGAGGAAAUGACGUCGUAAAUACCACCUCGAGCCGAACCCCUCCUCGCAAGAGCAUCUACCAUCUUCGCCUUUUCAACUUGCCUUCGUUUCUUCUCUUUUCCAUUUCUUUCUUUUUUUCUCCUCCUAAUGCCCACCACCUUAUCCCCACUUACUAACUCCUUUUCUUUCGUUUCCAUGUUUCUCGGCUCGCUCAUGUGGAAGGUACACGUUAUUUCCACCGAAUUUAUCAUUGAUUUAACAUAAGAUUUUGAAGAUAGCCCUUCGAUUGUUUGCUGUCAGUAUCUCUUUUCGAAUAAAUCCAUAUUUUUUUUAUAUUAAGCGAAAUUUCAGAGAACAAAUGAAAGAAGAUAUGGAAAACUGAGAAAAGAAACGUUAGAAUUUGGGUCAUAUUACUAUGAUAGAAGGAAAUUAAAUAGACUCGCAAUGAAACGCAACCAGCGCGUAUCCUUUUUCGCGUUUACGAAACGUCGUUUGAGAUGUUAUUUAGUCGGCACGAAAAGGGACACCACCUUGGACUCGUAACAACUACGCAUUAAAAUGUUUCCAUGAAAAAAUUAACUCCGACCUAUUGGCAAGCGCUAGAAGAAUGUUUGAGUUGUUCUCGUUUUUUUUUCCUUUUUUUCGUCUGCAAUUUUGAUUUCAUUCGUAUCAUUUCCGGACGAACGUUGUAGGUAUUAUUAAAAUGUACAAAGCAGGAAUCAUUUCCAGUUAACAAUGUGUACGAGAGAAAGUUCCCUCCCCUUAUAAAGAAAUAGGGAGACGGAAGUGACUCGCGUUUUGUUUCUUUCUUUUCUCCUUUGCUCUUCUUUUUCUUCUUCUUCUUCUUUAUUGCUGAUGUUUCAUCCCUCGGAGCGAUUUAAUAGUUUUAUAAAGCCGCAAGCAAACGCUCAGCUCGUCGAGUUAAUUUCUUAUUUUUUAUUUCCUCAUUGUUCUUUCUUUCACAGGUAUUUAAAUCGAAGAAAUACCGUUGGUUUAUUAAAAGAAACACAAUGCAAUAUAUAUAUCUUUCUAUAACGCUUAUUCUAACAAUAAAAUAGCAGUUGAGAAUUCUUUCGUUUUUGCUUGUAUUAUUAGCAAUUUUCAUAUUUCAGGCGAGAGCGCAGUCGAGGUAUGUAGAUAUAAAGCGAAAAAGGAGAAGAAGAAAGAGGCGAGGCAGCGCUUGGAAUAUUUGCACGUGGAAAGACGAAACUCGUCGCUUCUCUCGGAUAUUGCAACCGAUGCCUCUCGUUUUCCCUUAUCCCCAAGUUUCUUUGCCGCGUGAAAGAAGAAGGAAGAAAGAAGAAGCGCAUUAUACGUGGAAGCGUUCCUCCCUUUCGCCUCGCGGCCACACGGAGAACAGGGAGUUCUCGCUUUGGAAGAAAAGGGAGAAAAACGAUGCCGCGGAGGAAAAUGUCGAGAGGAAAAAAGAUGACGAUUGAAAUUUCUGGCACGGAAGUCGCGCGAGUUUCGCUCAACAUUUGCGAUGCGUUCUUCUAUCGGUAGACACCGUGAGAAUUCUUCGAGCGUCUUAUUCUUCUUCGUAUAGACGCACGUGGAUCGAGAAAGUAUCCUCUUUGGCAUUAAAUGAUGCUCCUAUACAAAUCUAUAUAUUCUAUUGGUGUAUAUAGUAUUUAAAAUACAAAUUUUCAAUUUCUUCCUACGUAAUAUUACACAAUAAGCAUUUCGUUGGAAUAAUGUUGUUAGUACAUGCAAUACUAAUAAAAAAUAUAUUUAGAGAUGAUGACA